rnacentral:lncRNA from 1 species
CACCCACCUCGGUCUUCCAAAGUGCUGGGACUACAGUGUGAGCCACUUCACCUGACCUUGUGAAAUAUUUUGAACCAAUUACAGGACAAUCAGAAAACAGGGUUCCUCCUCCACAAGGGAUCUUCUGAAUUGUUUAUAUGGAAGAAAGGUACUCAAGCUGGCACUGUCUUAAAAUAUAAUUUUAUUGCAUGUUGUAGUAUUAUCAAUGGCCAAUUGGCCAUGUCCGUCAACUUUAGUCCAUAAAUUGAAUAGUAGAAUCUAGUUGCUGUUAAGUGAAGAACGCUGUGCUUUUGUUGCUGAAAUCCCAUCUAAAAUCUGUAAAGUAGAUUGACAGCAAUAACAAGGAGCACAUGAGUGCUCUUGUGAGCAUGCUCAGUGGAAGGCUCAUGGGAGCCUGAUUAAAGCUGAGAAAAGUGGGGAAACAAUGAUUAACUUAUACAGGCUGGGAAUUAAUUAUCUCCAUCCAACACAUUCAGUAUCAAAGUGAGCCGAUCUCACUCACUGUCAGACACUGCAGAGCAAGAAACAGAUGAUGGUUCCAAGGCAAACAUCCUUUUGCUGAAUAUUCUACCUACGUGGCUCUUAAAACUGUGGCCCGAGCAGUUUCUCACUCUCCAGCUAGUCCACCGGCAAUUUCCAACAAGUUGUCAAAGUUACCUCUUGCAUGCUUUUGCCAGUCUGUGGCUCCCGUUGCUUCUGUUCCAGGUAAGCAGACCUCUGCUAUACUCUCUGUCUCUCUAGAUUUUAUGGUGAUAAUUUGUCCUGUACAAGUGCAAGUCAUUGAUUUUCAGUUUAUCCAGCUUUUUCUUGUUGUUAGGCUAGAAGUGGUGACUCCCAAGUUCUUAUGUGUUGGAACUGAAACCAGAAGUCUACAUACUUGUUUCUAAAACUGGGUUUCUUAAAAACUCUCUGGACCUCAGUUUCAACAUUUGUAAACUGGAUGUAACAAUAUCUGCCUUCUAUGGUGAUUGUGGGGAAUAAAGGAGAAAAUGUGAAGUGCUUAGCACAUAAUACCCAGC